UUUGUGCCUAAUCUUAUGGAGGGGAAAACUGUUCUUCUUUGUCUGAUGGUGCUAGUGUUGCUAGUAAAUUCCACUCACGCUGGUACAAAAUUGAUCUCCCUAUUGCUAUAUAUGUGUUUUAGUUUUACAUCAAAUUGCAGUAAAACAAGUUGUCAUGAAUAUUGUCGAAUCAACUACAUGAAUUUCUUUGUACACUUUCAAUUUGGAAUUCUCUGGCUGAUGUAUGUAUGUUGUCUACAGAGCAUUGCGAAACACACAUUACACCGGACUUUAUGUGCUCGAGUUACCAUUGCCGGAGUAUGUGCAGGGAUGAGUGGGACCAUGUAAAGGAAGCGUACUGCAGCAUCGGCAAGUCCUUUUUUCAACGUCAAUGUGUCUGCGUUGUAUGUGACUAGAGUAGCACUCUAGCAUCAUACCAAAUAAUGAACAAUUAUGCCCAAUAAUAAAAUGUUCUUGUGACAUGUAUAAAAGAACCUUGAUCUCCAAGGUCAUGUGUUCUAUUUGAUUUGAUUUUAUAGUGCAUAAUAUUAGGUUAUUGAUUUUUCUUUUGCUUGGCCUAGCUGUUAGUAAGUUCGCAAAUAACCAUAUGUAAUAUAAACCAUGCUUAAUGUACUUGAAGUCUUCGCCAUGGAGGUCGAAGGACAUGGUUUUCUAGUACCC
rnacentral:lncRNA from 1 species